ensembl:lncRNA LINC00907 long intergenic non-protein coding RNA 907
CAGUUGCUAAGAAGUUGUUACCAAGUUUGGUGAAUAAUUAAACUCUUGGACAUGACAGGGGAGGAGAAUUAUUGAUUCAAAGGACCUUAGAGCUCAAAAGGUCCUGAGAGACCAUCAUAACCACCCUCUUUAUUUUACAGAUACAGCUUCUGAGGAUCACGGGGAUGAAAGGCAUGAACUGGGCUCACACAGCUAAUGCAUUAGGACACCAGAAAAGGAAGAAAAGACAGUGGCAGCUGAAGACAUUUCAGGAAUGCUUCACUGAGAACCUAAGUCUUGUUCUGGGCCAUAAAGAAAAGGGGAGGGUGUGGUUUCUAUACCAGAGAUAAGAAAGGAGAAAAUUGGACGUGGAGGAAAGAUAUGAGUACCAAUCCGAGCGAACAAGGAAGAGUGAGUAAAUCUGUCCAGCUGGAGUUGGAGUGAAAAAGGUGCCUGCUUCUCCUUCUGCCAUGAUUAUAAGUUUCCUGAGGCUUCCCCAGCCAUGCGUAACUGAGUGAGGACCUAGAAUUUUAAUGUCUAAUAUGCGGUGUGAAUUAAAGAAGCGGCCUUGCUAUGCUGACCUUUUCAAUAUUCUAAUCUUUGCUUUGCUGACCUCUCAGGCCUCUUCCUGGCAACAGUUAGGCUUUUGAGAGGAGAGAGAGCUGAGACUGUUGGCUCCUUCCCAUUUAUGAGAGAGCCACAUGACAUCAGCCCAUAGACUGUGGAGAGUAUUCCAGAUCUAUCACAUUCUGCGAUUCUGCGAUUCCCAGAAGGCUGGUCAUGAAAAAAUUCCCUCUUCAGUUUACAUAUAUGGCA